CCCUUAGAUGUUCUGGGCCGCACGCGUGCUACACUGAGUGGAUCAGCGGGUCAGGUUGCGCGAAAGUGUUUCCUAAUCUCGAAAUCCGCUCGUGAUGGGGAUUGACGGUUGCAAUUUUCCGUCAUGAACGAGGAAUACCUUGUAAGCGCGGGUCAUCAUCCCGCGCUGAAUACGUCCCUGCCCUUUGUACACACCGCCCGUCGCUCCUACCGAUUGAGUGGUCCGGUGAGGCUUUGGGAUCUGAGCGGAAAGAGCGUUUCGCUGUUUCUGCUCGGAAAACUCAGUCGAACCUUAUCAUUUAGAGGAAGGAGAAGUCGUAACA
rnacentral:rRNA from 1 species